GCUUUGGGAUUGGACAGAAUGCCUGUCGAAGGCUGGUGCUUGGGCUCGCCUCUGUGUCCAAAGGUACUGCUGAAUUUCUGGCUGAAGGAGAACGACUUCAACCGAAGAUGAUUAAAUCCCUGAAGAAAGCGAUGGCCCCUGUUCUAAGCGAUGUCACCAUUGACUGGUUGUUUCCGGCAACAAAGGAAGUUCUGCUCUCUCCAGUGGGUGCCAGCUAUCUGUUUCCAGGGGACCGUCUGAUUGGCUACAGUGUUGUGUAUGACACGUCACGCUAUCAUCCCAACCCUAAGUCUG